AUGCGCGCGCUCGCUCCCUCUCUCCAAUGUUUUUUUAAAAAUCACAUAAAAGUAGGAGAGGGUUUAAACUUGGUUUUGAGUGGAAGACAAGAGCACGCCCAACACCGCACACAGGGUAUUGCAGGCCGUUACUUAUCCAUCCACAGGGAAACGCACGGGGACCCGGCCGUGACCCCGGCGGUGACCCCGCCGUCGCAGCGCCCGGCCCCCUGGCCGCCCGCCCCUCACCGGGCCGCGGUGACCGCCGCCGCCCGCCCCCCCACACCCCGCCCCACAGCGCGGGGGCAGGAACCGGCCGCUCUCCUCCCCCAGUCCGGGGACCACCGCGACACCGUGUCCGGAGCGGACCGGGGGCUAGGGAGGGCCUGCGGGCGACUCCGGGACCCGCGCCCCGAGCGUCUCCCCGCGGGCAUGACGGCCGGGCGCGGGGCCUGUGACCCCCGCAGGGACCCUCGGGCCUCGGGCGAAGAACGGAGCCGGGAAGGGGCACAGGAGCCCGGCUUUAAACCUCAAAGACCAGAAUUCACUUACCAGAGCGCGACCUUCGCUUCCGGAAAUCUCCUUCCGGAUAAGCCCAUGUUUCCCCCAGAGGUAAAGCUGGAGGAGUGGGGACUGCUGUGGCCAAACAGGACCUAUGUGGCUAUCGGGGUAUCCAUUCCUAAGAGACACCUGGGGAGCCUGCGACCCCUUCAGAAAGAAGAGAGACACAGACAUGGGAAAAGCCAUGAUGGAAGAGACACAGCCAAACCCAGGGGAUCCCUGAAGCCUCCAGAAACCGAAGGAAUCAGGAAGGACCCUCCUCUGGAGUCUCAGCACUUUCAAUUACUUUUUUUUUUUUUUUAAAUUUAUGAUAGGCACACAGUGAGAGAGAGAGAGGCAGAGACACAGGCAGAGGGAGAAGCAGGCUCCAUGCACCGGGAGCCCGAUGUGGGAUUCGAUCCCGGGUCUCCAGGAUCGCGCCCUGGGCCAAAGGCAGGCGCCAAACCGCUGCGCCACCCAGGGAUCCCCGUCUCAGCACUUUCAAAGUGGGGAGCUGCCACGGUGGGGGCAGGGCUGUGGUCCCUGAGGGCUCCGUGUCCCCUGCGUGGUGGCUGGGAGCCGCUCCCACAGGAUGCUCACCAGCAUGCUGGCUUAUAGGAGACUGCGCGGCACUGGACACCCACGCUUGCUCUACCAUCACAACCUUCUCUUGGGUUCCAGUCAGCAUAGGGUGUCUCUGGGGCCAAGGGGAGCUGGGUUUUCAGCCUUCAUGGGGGGCCUUUGGGUGCUGAUUAAGAGUGCAAGUUAGGGACACCUGGGUGGCUCAGUGGUUGAGUGUCUUCAGCUUAGGGUGUGAUCCUAGAAUUCUGGGAUCGAGUCCUGCAUCGGGCUCCCCACAGGGAGCCUGUUUCUCCCUCUGCCUGGGUCUCUGCCUCUCUGUAUCUCUCAUGAAUAAAUAAAUAAAAUCUUAAAAAAAAAAAGUGCA
rnacentral:lncRNA from 12 species